GCUGACGACCGGCGCACGGGUGCGUAACGCGUACUGCAACUUGCCUCAACUGGGAAAUAGCCCGGAGAAAUUCGGAUUAAUGUCCCAUAGUAUCACAUCACCGCAUGAUGAUGUGCUUAAAGCUUUCGGCGGUUGAGGAUGGGCAUGCGUCCUAUUAGCUUGUUGGUGAGGUAACGGCUCACCAAGGCUGCGAUAGGUAGGGGGCCUGAGAGGGUAAUCCCCCACACUGGUACUGAGACACGGACCAGACUCCUACGGGAGGCAGCAGUGAGGAAUAUUGGUCAAUGGACGAAAGUCUGAACCAGCCAUGCCGCGUGCAGGAUGACGGCCCUACGGGUCGUAAACUGCUUUUAUAAGGGAAUAAACCCCCCGACGUGUCGGGGGGCUGAAGGUACCUUACGAAUAAGGAUCGGCUAACUCCGUG
rnacentral:rRNA from 1 species